rnacentral:rRNA from 1 species
ACACGACUACAUUAGAUACCCGCGUAGUCCUAGCCAUAAACGAUACUCGCUAGGUGUCGGCCACGGUGCGACCGUUGUCGGUGCCGUAGGGAAGCCGUGAAGCGAGCCACCUGGGAAGUACGGCCGCAAGGCUGAAACUUAAAGGAAUUGGCGGGGGAGCACCACAACGGGUGGAGCUUGCGGUUUAAUUGGAUUCAACGCCGGAAAUCUUACCGGGACCGACAGCAACAUGAAGGCCAGGCUGAAGACUUUGCCGGAUUAGCUG